GGGGCAAGCGUUGUCCGGAUUUAUUGGGCGUAAAGAGCGUGUAGGCGGCUAGGUAGGUCCGUUGUGAAAACUCGAGGCUCAACCUCGAGACGCCGAUGGAAACCAUCUAGCUAGAGUCCGGAAGAGGAGAGUGGAAUUCCUGGUGUAGCGGUGAAAUGCGCAGAUAUCAGGAAGAACACCCGUGGCUAAGGCGGCUCUCUAGUACGGUACUGACGCUGAGACGCGAAAGCGUGGGGAGCGAACAGGAUUAGAUACCCUGGUAGUCCACGCCGUAAACGAUGGGUGCUAGGUGUGGGAGGUGUCRACUCCUUCCGUGCCRAAGCUAACGCAUUAAGCACCCCGCCUGGGGAGUACGGCCGCAAGGCUA
rnacentral:rRNA from 1 species